rnacentral:rRNA from 1 species
AUUGAACGCUGGCGGCAGGCUUAACACAUGCAAGUCGAGCGGGGGAAGGUAGCUUGCUACCGGACCUAGCGGCGGACGGGUGAGUAAUGCUUAGGAAUCUGCCUAUUAGUGGGGGACAACAUCUCGAAAGGGAUGCUAAUACCGCAUACGUCCUACGGGAGAAAGCAGGGGAUCUUCGGACCUUGCGCUAAUAGAUGAGCCUAAGUCGGAUUAGCUAGUUGGUGGGGUAAAGGCCUACCAAGGCGACGAUCUGUAGCGGGUCUGAGAGGAUGAUCCGCCACACUGGGACUGAGACACGGCCCAGACUCCUACGGGAGGCAGCAGUGGGGAAUAUUGGACAAUGGGGGGAACCCUGAUCCAGCCAUGCCGCGUGUGUGAAGAAGGCCUUAUGGUUGUAAAGCACUUUAAGCGAGGAGGAGGCAACUCUAGUUAAUACCUAGGGAUAGUGGGCGUUACUCGCAGAAUAAGCACCGGCUAACUCUGUGCCAGCAGCCGCCGUAA